rnacentral:rRNA from 1 species
UACGAAGGGGGCUAGCGUUGUUCGGAAUUACUGGGCGUAAAGCGCACGUAGGCGGACUAUUAAGUCAGGGGUGAAAUCCCCGGGGCUCAACCCCGGAACUGCCUUUGAUACUGGUAGUCUCGAGUCCGGAAGAGGUGAGUGGAAUUCCGAGUGUAGAGGUGAAAUUCGUAGAUAUUCGGAGGAACACCAGUGGCGAAGGCGGCUCACUGGUCCGGUACUGACGCUGAGGUGCGAAAGCGUGGGGAGCAAACAGG